AGGGGGGCUAGUCUAAAGAAGACCUUUGAUUUCGGCUCAGAAAAUUGUGGUUUAAGUCCACGGCCCCCUU
rnacentral:tRNA from 1 species